rnacentral:lncRNA from 1 species
CCUCCCCCGCGGGUGCUACAGGUCGAAGUUAAAACAAAUCAUUAGGCUUCCAAAUCUGUAACCCUCCACUGGCCAUGCCCCCAGUUACUUCUCUGUGACAGUCUGAAUGUUUUACUAUCUGGUUUUCUAUUGUAGUACCCUGUAUGUCCACUAUGUGUCGCUACUGAAUCCAGAGCUUAUAAAAUGUUUUUCGCUAUUCAUGCUACAGUGACGAUAAACAGCACUUAUCUCCCAUAUCAUAACAUAUUUUACUAAAUUAAUGUUUAUCUGAAAAAUGCACAUUUUCUUUUCUAAAUGAGAAUACCAUGUUCAUCACUAAGGCUCUUCUGAUUUUCAGACACAACGUCCUCUUCCAUUUUUCAUCCACCCGAACAUGAACUGGUGGAGCUCUACAGCACUGAUGAUGUCAGCAGUCCUCCCACAGCCAUCACUACUGAGCCAUUUGCUAACAUGAACAGAACUCACAGAACCACUAAACCCUCCAGAACCUCCAACAUCCACAGUUCACCAUCUGAAACCGUUUUGACUCAUGUGAAUACCACCAGACCACCAGAUUUGCAUCCAGAUGCUUCAUCUUCAGUCACACAGCUAUCACUCUCACCCAGUCCAGCAGUGCUCACCACUGACCAAUCAGACAAGCCAGACAGAACAUCAGAAAUAAGACAGCCACAGCUCAAGAUAGAAGCAGCAUCAGUGCAGUCAGAAGGGCCCAACACAUCGGCCUCUCCACAUGAAAACCAGCAGAAUUCAACAUGGAGGAGAACCAUACGUCUGAUUUUCCCUACAGGUCCUCCGCUGACGAGCAUGGGCGAAACAAAGAUGGCCACAGUUCCAUCUGGUUACUUGUCUGGAGCUGCUGUUUCUGAGUCAACAACACCUCAAUCUUCUGAUAAGGACAUAUAUACCUCAGCUCCCCCUGCUGUAGAUGACCCAUCUGUCAAGUCUCACCUCAAACCUGCAAGAAGAAUUAUGACAGAGACAGGCACAUCACCACUCACACAUGCUUCCACAGGGGCAGUAACACCUACUAUUACACCCACGGUAACAUAUGCUACUACACCUGCAGCAUCAUUUGCUAUACCUGCAGAAACCACUACUGCAAUACCUGCUACGGCACCUGCAGAAACACUUUCUUCUACAUCUGUAGCAAUGGUUUCUACUACACCCACGAUAACCCAUACUGCACCCACAGUAAAUACUGCACCCACAGUAACACCUACUGGUACAUCCACAGUAACACAUACUACACCCACAGUAGCACCUGCUACUACACCCACAGUAACACAUACCACACCCACAGUAACACCUGUUACUACACCCACAGUAACACCUGUUACUACACCCACAGUAACACCUGCUACUAUACCCACAGUAACACCUGCUACUACACCUGCAGUAACACCUGUUACUACACCCACAGUAACACCUGCUACUACACCCACAGUAACACCUGCUACUACACCCACAGUAACACCUGCUACUACACCCACAGUAACACCUGCUGGUACAUUCACAGUAACAUCUGCUACUACACCCACAGUAACACCUACUGGUACAUCCACAGUAACACAUACUACACCUAAAGUAACAUCCACUGUAACACCUGCUACUACACCCACAGUAACAUAUACCACACCCACAGUAACACCUGCUACUACACCUGCAGUAACACCUGUUACUACACCCACAGUAACACCUGCUACUACACCCACAGUAACACCUGCUACUACACCCACAGUAACACCUGCUGGUACAUUCACAGUAACAUCUGCUACUACACCCACAGUAACACCUACUGCUUCACCUACAGUAACACAUACUACACCUAAAGUAACAAUAGUUACUACAUCCACAGUAACAAUGGCUACUACACCCACAGUAACACCUACUACUACACCCACAGUAACACUAGCUACUAUAUCCUCUGUAACAUCUGCUACUACACCCACAGUAACGCCUACUACUACACCCUCAAUAACACCUGCUACUACACCCACAGUAAAGCCUACUACUACACCCAGAGUAACACCUGCUACUACACUCACAGUAACACCUGCUACUACACCCACAGUAACACCUACUACACCCACAGUAACACCUGCUACUACAUCCACAGUAACACCUGGUACUACACCAACAGUAACACCUGCUACUACACCCACAGUAACACCUACAUUAACACCUACUACACUCAUAGUAACACCUGCUACAUCACAGACAGUAACACCUGCUACUACACCUGCUGCAAAACCUGCUACUGCACCUUCCAUAACACCAGCUAAUAGACCUGCUAUUACACUGACAACAGUACCUACAACCCCUACUACACCUACAGCAACCACUCCCUCAGCAGGUUGGAUGACUACUGUCAAAACUACACCACUGUACCCUGCCAGCAUCUCCACCAGAACCUCAAGCAGAACCGUUUCACCUGCUGCUCGCUCCACCACACCUGUCCAGACUGUGGUGAGGCCCAGAUGUUCUGUAAAGCUGACAGAGAUCAGGUCCAGCUCAGACUCAGCAGUGGUUCGACUCACUGCUGCUUGUUUGUCACCGAACCUCAUCGUUGUCCCAACCACUGGCUUCCGGUCGAAUGCUGUCCACUGCACCCCAGAGGGACAUGCUGAAUCUGUAUUCAUCUGUAAAGUGACAGAGCUAGAACCAGGAACGUUAAACCAGCUGAUGGUGAUCUCUAAGAAGGAUGGAGAGAAGAGCUUUGGCGUAGUGCGUUCAGGUAAGGACUCAUCCGCAUGA